ACCUGGCUGGCUCAGUCAGUAGAGCAUAUGACUCUCAAUCUCAGGGUCGUGAGUUCGAGCCCCAUGUAGGGUA
rnacentral:tRNA from 1 species